GUACUCACCGUCUACUAGGCCUACUACUUAACGCAUCUUGUUUGCGCGGUAUGCCUGUGGACGAAGUUCGGAGCUGACUCAGCCGAUCACCCAUAAGAAACCCGCGCUACUGCGCGGGUUUUUUU
rnacentral:sRNA from 1 species